ACCUUCUUAUUUAAGCUCUGUGCUAAAGUACUGGAAACUAGUAUCAUGCCUAAGUAUUUGUAAUAAAGCUAGUGGAGUAAACACAAGGAAAAAAACAACUGUACCAGAUAGUAGAAAAACUAAGAUGAACCUCUUUAAUAAGUCCAGUGUACUUUGUUCUGAGAUUUGGUACAAUAAUA
ensembl:snoRNA